UCUAGUUAUAUUCUGAUUAUAAUCUUGAAUCACUUUUCGUUAGAUGGUUUCGACCAAAAGCGUAUUGUGCUUCACAAACUAGCUACUUACGCAAAAUCUCUGCAAUAAUCUAAAUUUACUAGCAUCGCCAACAUCGUUUUCAAUUCGGUUGAUUUGCCAACUCGAAGAGUCACGCUGUUCUCCAAUGAUACGUUCAACUAUUUGAUUUUUUUAAACUAUUUUUUCGUGUCGAUGAAGAACAUUCUGAUGUACAUUCUGUCAAAUAUAUUCUCUACAUCCCUGAAAUCGUGCGGGCCGCCACCCUAACCGUAUUUCGAAUGCUUGUAACUCGAACAUUUCAUAACAGAACGGGAAGAUGUUUGCAUCAAUUGAUAGGAAAUAUUUCUACGCGUCUAACACAAUUAAGAUAAUUUAUAGGAACAAAUUUUCUUAAAAACUUACGUUUAUUAAGUCUACAACAAAAAUGAUUCAAGGAUAUUGAUUCGCAGCAGCAGCACUGUCAAGCAACUUGAUGAUUUUUCCAUACUGCAAGCUCCACUCCACAGCGAAGGAGUUGGACAUCCUGAGACACUUUGCGUCCGCCAGAUACAGCCGAACUGGUAUUUACAAUAUCAUCUCUUUGCCGCUCCUUGAGCCGGGAGAUCGAAGCAACCGGCCAAACGGUGGGGAAAAAUCUGGCCAAAAUAGACAUUUUUUAUGCGGAAGCGUCAGACGAGACAGCCCGUAUCUGAGCAGCAGGCAAUCACCCAGAAGGAGUAGCUUGAGGUGCUGCUGUUGAAAAACUACCUUCCGGCGAAAGAAGUGAAAAACUUCUUUUCAUACUCAUAAUGAAAGACGAGACGUACUUGAUGCUAGAAUUCAACGAAUGGCAGGGGACCGGGAACUUUACGUUCCCCAGACGUGAAGGGAAUGUCCAAGCCGCUCUUCUUUCGAGUCAUAUGGUGAACGGGGAGAUAUAUUGUACGAAGUGCUUGCCGGAGUUGGAAAGGUGAUGUGGUCUUUAUGCCGAACCUGCGGUCAGCCCAUUAUGCCAAAGGAUCACUGGAGGAUGGAUCGGCUGGAGAUAACGUGAACGUGAUGAAUUAUAGAGGUUUUAAACUUUUCAGUUCAUUCGCCUCUAGGCUGGAGAUAAACAUUGUCGCGAAGAUCACCAACCUUCCCAGCAUUCCCCAGCUGCACCCGAUAGAAUACUUUUGGGCGAAUGGCCAAAAUAGAGAGACAAACGACUACCAAAACCACGAAAAGGUAAAAUAACACGCCGAUAUACAUAUUUUCAUCGGCCAUAGUUCAGGUUCCGGCCAACUUCCGUAAGACCGCCCAGCGCUUCAUUUACGAUACUCCAUCAAACAACUCUGCCUCUUCCUGUCGAGUAUACACUAGUUCGUCCAGCUUGUUUAAAACGUUAAGCCCUGACCGAACUAGGGGAAAAUAGAUGAACUUUUCGUCUGACUCACGUUAGUCCCUGCGGAUCAAUAGGGUACUUUCAUAAAAAUCAUUUUCCAAUUUUGUUGCUGUCGCUUCCAAUUGACACUCUUUAAACAAAAAGCCCAAUGUCGGUGCGAUGAAACCAACUCAACGUAUUAAUCUUUGGAUGCAUUAGAAACGCUCUUGAAAAGUCUGCCAAAUAAAUGUUUUUUUUGAGGUUCAUCCAUUUAAGAAAAUCAACAUGAUCAAAUUGUGAUAUUGAAAUAUAUUGAAUCGCGGGACAUUUUCGUGUCUUUUGCCAAAUGCGGGACGUUUUGCGGGACGAAAUCUUACGCGGGACAUUUUGUUGAAAUGCGGGACUGUCCCGCAUAACGCGGGACGUCUGGUCAGUUUACCUAAGUGCCAUGUUUUGAUUGGCCGUAAAUCGGGUUUCACCAACACAGACUUCAAAAUCGAUGUACCUGUGGAAAUCCGCUUUGCAAAUAUACAUGCAAGUCGGGGGUAUUUUUGUUCCCACCGAGCUGUGUUUCUCUAACACGAACUUCAAAAUCAAUGUGCCUGGGAAAUGUAGGGAAAUGUAAAAUACAAUGAUCGUUUGACAAUUCUUCCGUUCACAUAUUUUGGGAG